CUGGCAUCUCCCAGCCCGCUCCCCGUCAGCUUCCUGGGAAGGCAGGUGGAGGAGGGGAGUGUGGGCUUGUCUCCGCUGGGGUUUCUC
rnacentral:miRNA from 1 species